UCCAGUGACUAUAGCGGGGAGGCUACACCUGUUCCCAUCCCGAACACAGAAGUUAAGCUCCUUUGCGCCGACGAUACUUGGCGGGAGACCGCCCGGGAGAAUAGGGCGUCGCUGGUU
rnacentral:rRNA from 1 species